UGGGGAAUAUUGCACAAUGGGCGAAAGCCUGAUGCAGCAACGCCGCGUGAGUGAUGAAGGCCUUCGGGUUGUAAAGCUCUGUCUUUUGGGACGAUAAUGACGGUACCAAAGGAGGAAGCCACGGCUAACUACGUGCCAGCAGCCGCGGUAAUACGUAGGUGGCAAGCGUUGUCCGGAUUUACUGGGCGUAAAGGAUGCGUAGGCGGAUUUUUAAGUGAGAUGUGAAAACCCUAAGCUUAACUUGGGGACUGCAUUUCAUACUGGAAAUCUAGAGUGCGGGAGAGGAGAAUGGAAUUCCUAGUGUAGCGGUGAAAUGCGUAGAGAUUAGGAAGAACACCAGUGGCGAAGGCGAUUCUCUGGACCGUAACUGACGCUGAGGCAUGAAAGCGUGGGUAGCAAAACAGGAUUAGAUACCCUGGUAGUCCACGCCGUAAACGAUGAGUACUAGGUGUAGGAGGUAUCGACCCCUUCUGUGCCGCAGUUAACACAAUAAGUACUCCGCCUGGGAAGUACGAUCGCAAGAUUAAAAACUUAAAAUGAAUUGACGGGGGUCAUAGCUG
rnacentral:rRNA from 1 species